rnacentral:rRNA from 1 species
GAUGAACGCUGGCGGCGUGCCUAAUACAUGCAAGUCGAGCGAACAGACGAGGAGCUUGCUCCUCUGACGUUAGCGGCGGACGGGUGAGAAACACGUGGAUAACCUACCGAUAAGACUGGGAUAACUUCGGGAAACCGGAGCUAAUACCGGAUAAGAUAUUGAACCGCAUGGUUCAAUAGUGAAAGACGGUUUGGCUGGCACUUAGAGAGGGAGCCGCGCCGGUUUAGCUAGUUGGUAAGGUAACGGCUUACCAGGGCAACGAUGCGUAGCCGACCUGAGAGGGGAGACGGCCACACUGGACCUGAGACACGUCCCAGACCCCACGGGGGGGCAGCAUGGGGGAAUCUUCCGCAUGGGCGAAAGCUUGACGGAGCAACGCCGCGUGAGUGAUGAAGGUCUUCGGAUCGUAAAACUCUGUUAUUAGGGAAGAACAAAUGUGUAAGUAACUAUGCACGUCUUGACGGUACCUAAUCAGAAAGCCACGGCUAACUACGUG